CCAGACUCCUACGGGAGGCAGCAGUGGGGAAUAUUGGACAAUGGGGGGAACCCUGAUCCAGCGACGCCGCGUGAGUGAAGAAGUAUCUCGGUAUGUAAAGCUCUAUCAGCAGGGAAGAAAGAAAUGACGGUACCUGACUAAGAAGCCCCGGCUAACUACGUGCCAGCAGCCGCGGUAAUACGUAGGGGGCAAGCGUUAUCCGGAUUCACUGGGUGUAAAGGGAGCGUAGACGGCGACGCAAGUCUGGAGUGAAAGCCCGGGGCCCAACCCCGGGACUGCUCUGGAAACUGCGUCGCUGGAGUACGGGAGGGGCAGGCGGAAUUCCUGGUGUAGCGGUGAAAUGCGUAGAUAUUAGGAGGAACACCAGUGGCGAAGGCGGCUUACUGGACUGUAACUGACGUUGAGGCUCGAAAGCGUGGGGAGCAAACAGGAUUAGAUACCCUUGUAGG
rnacentral:rRNA from 1 species